CGGCUACAACACGUUGAAACACCGGUCCCAGUGCAGUCAUGGAAGUUAAGCAACGUUGAACCUGGUUAGUACCUAGAUGGGUGACCACUUGGGAAUACCAGGA